CCCUACCCCAUGUUUCACCGAUUAUAUAAAGACCAACUGAUGAUGCCUUUCCUUAUAUUCAUAGGCAAAACAAGAAAUAUGAAUAUGAAGAACUCUAUCAACUUCCAAUUAGUCCCUAUACUUUUCAGAAUAUGAAGAACUCUAUCAACUUCCAAUUAGUCCCUAUACUUUUCAUUUUCUUUCUGCUACACCAUCCAACAUUCUUGAUAUUGGCAAAUUCAGAUGAAACUACACAUAGCUUUCUUGUAAAAGUCCACAAUGACAUGAAGACUGAGGUAUCACUAAAAUGUCUGGUUAAUGGCAGGGACAUGAGACUUCAUCCAGUUUUUUCUGGGAUAUUGGAAGGUGUGAUGGUGGAGAGUGCAUUUGGUAUCUUAAGGAUGAUGGUAUCUAUCUUGGUCAACCAAUUUUACAAUUUGCUUGGAAUGUAGCUAUUGAUGUUUGAUUUUUAUUUUCCCCUGGAAAUAAUAUGAAUGGGAAUAUUAGAUUAAUUACUUAAUAUUAUGAGUUGUGCUUGUUCUUGUUUAA